rnacentral:rRNA from 1 species
GACGAACGCUGGCGGCGUGCUUAACACAUGCAAGUCGAACGGAAAGGCCCCUUUGGGGGUACUCGAGUGGCGAACGGGUGAGUAACACGUGAGUAACCUGCCCUUGACUUCGGGAUAACUUCAGGAAACUGGGGCUAAUACCGGAUAGGAAUCCUUGCUGCAUGGUGGGGGUUGGAAAGCUUCGGCGGUUUUGGAUGGACUCGCGGCUUAUCAGCUUGUUGGUGGGGUAGUGGCUUACCAAGGCUUUGACGGGUAGCCGGCCUGAGAGGGCGACCGGCCACAUUGGGACUGAGAUACGGCCCAGACUCCUACGGGAGGCAGCAGUGGGGAAUAUUGCACAAUGGGCGGAAGCCUGAUGCAGCAACGCCGCGUGCGGGAUGACGGCCUUCGGGUUGUAAACCGCUUUCAGCAGGGGCGAAGCUUGUGGUGACGGUACCUGCAGAAGAAGCACCGGCUAACUAC